rnacentral:rRNA from 1 species
AUUGAACGCUGGCGGAAUGCUUUACACAUGCAAGUCGAACGGCAGCACGGACUUCGGUCUGGUGGCGAGUGGCGAACGGGUGAGUAACAUAUCGGAACGUAUCCAAUAAUGGGGGAUAACGAGUCGAAAGAUUCGCUAAUACCGCAUACGCCCUACGGGGGAAAGCGUGGGACCUUCGGGCCUGGCGUUAAUGGAGCGGCCGAUGUCUGAUUAGCUAGUUGGUGAGGUAAAGGCUCACCAAGGCGACGAUCAGUAGCUGGUCUGAGAGGACGACCAGCCACACUGGAACUGAGACACGGUCCAGACUCCUACGGGAGGCAGCAGUGGGGAAUUUUGGACAAUGGGCGCAAGCCUGAUCCAGCCAUUCCGCGUGAGUGAAGAAGGCCUUCGGGUUGUAAAGCUCUUUCGCAAGGGAAGAAAACUUAGCCACUAACAUUGGUUGAGGUUGACGGUACCUUGAUAAGAAGCACCGGCUAACUACGUGCCAGCCGCCGCCGUAA